rnacentral:rRNA from 1 species
GAUGAACGCUGGCGGCGUGCCUAAUACAUGCAAGUCGAGCGAACGGACGAGAAGCUUGCUUCUCUGAUGUUAGCGGCGGACGGGUGAGUAACACGUGGAUAACCUACCUAUAAGACUGGGAUAACUUCGGGAAACCGGAGCUAAUACCGGAUAAUAUUUUGAACCGCAUGGUUCAAAAGUGAAAGACGGUCUUGCUGUCACUUAUAGAUGGAUCCGCGCUGCAUUAGCUAGUUGGUAAGGUAACGGCUUACCAAGGCAACGAUGCAUAGCCGACCUGAGAGGGUGAUCGGCCACACUGGAACUGAGACACGGUCCAGACUCCUACGGGAGGCAGCAGUAGGGAAUCUUCCGCAAUGGGCGAAAGCCUGACGGAGCAACGCCGCGUGAGUGAUGAAGGUCUUCGGAUCGUAAAACUCUGUUAUUAGGGAAGAACAUAUGUGUAAGUAACUGUGCACAUCUUGACGGUACCUAAUCAGAAAGCCACGGCUAACUACGUGCCAGCAGCCGCGGUAAUACGUAGGUGGCAAGCGUUAUCCGGAAUUAUUGGGCGUAAAGCGCGCGUAGGCGGUUUUUUAAGUCUGAUGUGAAAGCCCACGGCUCAACCGUGGAGGGUCAUUGGAAACUGGAAAACUUGAGUGCAGAAGAGGAAAGUGGAAUUCCAUGUGUAGCGGUGAAAUGCGCGGAGAUAUGGAGGAACACCAGUGGCGAAGGCGACUUUCUGGUCUGUAACUGACGCUGAUGUGCGAAAGCGUGGGGAUCAAACAGGAUUAGAUACCCUGGUAGUCCACGCCGUAAACGAUGAGUGCUAAGUGUUAGGGGGUUUCCGCCCCUUAGUGCUGCAGCUAACGCAUUAAGCACUCCGCCUGGGGAGUACGACCGCAAGGUUGAAACUCAAAGGAAUUGACGGGGACCCGCACAAGCGGUGGAGCAUGUGGUUUAAUUCGAAGCAACGCGAAGAACCUUACCAAAUCUUGACAUCCUUUGACAACUCUAGAGAUAGAGCCUUCCCCUUCGGGGGACAAAGUGACAGGUGGUGCAUGGUUGUCGUCAGCUCGUGUCGUGAGAUGUUGGGUUAAGUCCCGCAACGAGCGCAACCCUUAAGCUUAGUUGCCAUCAUUAAGUUGGGCACUCUAAGUUGACUGCCGGUGACAAACCGGAGGAAGGUGGGGAUGACGUCAAAUCAUCAUGCCCCUUAUGAUUUGGGCUACACACGUGCUACAAUGGACAAUACAAAGGGCAGCGAAACCGCGAGGUCAAGCAAAUCCCAUAAAGUUGUUCUCAGUUCGGAUUGUAGUCUGCAACUCGACUAUAUGAAGCUGGAAUCGCUAGUAAUCGUAGAUCAGCAUGCUACGGUGAAUACGUUCCCGGGUCU